GACUUAAUAAUAGACACCAUUUGACCAUCAGAAUAUUUAUCUUUUGAUAAUAUAUCUGGAAUCUUUGGGAUUGAAUCAAAGGUUUUAGACUCGAAUAUUCACUAUUCCAAUGGAUACCGUUUAUGCCAUUUGAGGAAAGUCUUCAGUUCGUUGUUUACUCAUGUAAAAACUUCUAUCAUAAAAUCUCGUCGUGCUACAACUUUAUCCACAGAACAGUCAAAUAGACUAAUAUUCUUAUUUGGAUUCAAAUGUACCCGUUGGACCAAGUUUGAAGGAUUGGGCUCGUACGGUUUGAUUCUCCACUUGUGUGGGCUCUUAAAAGGCCAAGGUGGCUUGUAACUAGAUACUACUGGUGCGGAGCUGAAAUCAAAAUUCUUUGGUAAUGAUGUAAUCGACUGGAAAUGGAUAUUGUGCAUGAUUGUUUCGUGAUCUCUUUGUUUAUGCUGGUGUUGGCUCAUAGAUCACAUAGAUAUUCGUCUUGGAUGCAUCUUGAUCAGUGUCUGGACAAGGGGCGCUGGUUUCGAAUCCAACCCAUGACAUUUAUGUUUUUCAUGAGUUUUAAAUAAAUUAGUAUUUAGUAGGCCAUAAAUAUUAGGCCAAAAAUUAAUAUUUAGUAAGUAGUAUAUUUUUCAUGUGUUUUAAAAAAAUGUGAAUUUUUAAGGCCGGCUAUGUGUACUACAUACUAUGUACUUGUCGAACACAAUUUGACGAAUGUGACACCAUCUCAUUGUGGUCAUCACAAACUGCAAACAAAAUAACAUUUUUUUUGGUGCAACAAACAAAAAAAAAAACAAAAAAACAAAAUAGCUUAGUAUCAAUUAAUAACGCACAAAGAAAAUAUAGAGUACUCGUGCUAAAGAGCUACCACUUGGCCUCGUCUAGUUAAUACUAGCGUUAUAUGAUAUUAUCUCCAGUGUAAAAUUGUUGGAAAUUUUAUCAUUCUUUUAGUUAAUUGAAUAUCCGGUGCAUGCAAAAAGAAAAGGAGCUUUUUGAAUUCGACGUUACAGACUAAAUCUAUCUAUAUUAAUAAAGUAGAGUAGAAAGGCUCCUCCUGCGUCCACGUCAGCAAACCCUGUUCCUUUUCGUGACACGUGGCAGGCAAUGAGAAAACUUUUUAUUUUGAUUCUGAAUCUGUUCGUAGAGUGCAAACAGUUAACAUUGAGCAAUGGACUUAUAUUAUUUUUUGGGCCCUUACAACUUUUAUCAUUGCGGCCCGAUUUCGUUUUAGGGCUUAGUAUACGCUCAAGCUCUUCCUCUUUGACGCCGUAAUCCUUUCGUUCGCCAUCGUCUCCGAUCAGAUUUGCUGUAACGCUCUCCCUUCUUAAACUCAUGCUUUAAUUCAAUCAUUAAACUUCACUCCACCUUCUCUCCCACUCAGCCUCAUUUAUUCAAGCUCACCAGCUGCAUAUGUAACAGAUACAGUUUUGAUCUAUAAAUAGGUCUUCUGGAAUCGAUGAAUACCUACUCUGCUCAGAUACCUGAAAGCCAAUACUUCUUACGCAUCAGCUUGAAAUAUUUCGUCUUCGUACGUUUUUCUCGCCAACCUGAAAGCAGGUCGUUCCUCAAACACGAUAGAGAUCCUAUCUCCCCAGGUUCUGGAAAGCUCGGAAUGUCAGAAAAGGUGGAGAGCUCAUGAGUGUGGACAUGCUUCUUCUCGAUUAGUAGCAAUGACAAGGAACAUUGAGAUAAGAAUGGCUGUAGCUACAACACAAAGGAAUCAUCAUUAACCGAGUCAUCAAAUCGAGAUUUACAUGGUUCUUCUCGCCGGUGAUUCACCGGAGCUCCAAUGAGAGGCCAUGGAUGGUUCAUGAUCGUCUUCAAGUGCUCAAGCUCUCUCAUUUCUGAUAUUAAAAGUUAGAUUGUAGUGUUGUGAGUUUGUUAAGGUGAAACAGAGAGAGAGAGAGAGAGAGAAGUGAGAUGAAGAAGGAGAAGAGAGUGAGCAAGUGGUGAUAAACAUGGAAGAAUGUGAAAGCUUUGGGAUUUUAAUAGAGAUAAAAAAAACUUUACAGGUCUUGAAAUGUGAUGUUUUUAUAAGUAGAUAGUGAACGUAUCAUGCGCACUAUAUUCUUAAGCAAAUGUUUAGUUGAUAUUUGUUUGGGUUUGGGCUUAGAGUGUGAUGAUAAAUUGAGCAUGAGAACGAGAAGGAGCAUGAAACGGAGAGUGUGACAGCAAGGGCUAUUUCUGAAGUGCAAAGUGUCACGGGAGAGGUCGAUAGUCACUAGAACAUGCUGAGUUUAUUAGAGCUGCAGUUUUUUUUGGUUUGUUUUUUUUUUUACAAAAGAGGAAUGAAAGACUGUGUUUAAUAUGAUUUUGGUUUGCAAAAA